UUAUUUUCUGCUAUUUAUCAAAAAAAAUAUAAUAAAAAUAUAAUAAUAAAAUACAAGGCAUUUUAUUGUUUAUUCAAGCUCCUGUACAAACAUUAAGGGCUUUAAAACUUUCUCCAUAAGCAUUCUAGAUGUAUUUUCAGUCGCUGAUGAAGGAUUUAGGGGAAAAUUGACAAUUUAGCAGUUAAAAAAUGUAAAAAUUAUUUGUCUAAGAAAAAUUGAAGUUUUUUUAAGACGGUUGCCUUAAGCGUGGUAACAGGUGUCUUCCUCUACUCGGAUCGGGCUGUCAAAUUUUUUCUACACUUUUAGGUGUAUUUUGUGCAAGAAAUUGCAAUAAAAUAGUCUGCCUAAGAAAAAUUGAAAUUUUUGAAAAAUUUUUUUUUUUGAAAAACGAUUUAAAGGUCAAAAUCUGUGUCUUCCUCUACUCGGAUCUGGCUGUUAAAUUUUUUCUACACUUUUAGGUGUAUUUUGUGCAAGAAAUUGCAAUAAAAUAGUCUGCCUAAGAAAAAUUGAAAUUUUUGAAAAAUUUUUUUUUUUGAAAUACGAUUUAAAGGUCAAAAUAUGUGUCUUCCUCUACUCGGAUCGGGCUGUCAAAUUUUUUCUACACUUUCAGGUGUAUUUUGUGCAAGAAAUUGCAAUAAAAUAGUCUGCCUAAGAAAAAUUGAAUUUUUUUGAAAAUUUUUUUUUUUCGAAAAACGAUUUAAAGGUCAAAAUAUGUGUCUUCCUCUACUCGGAUCGGGCUGUCAAAUUUUUUCUACACUUUCAGGUGUAUUUUGUGCAAGAAAUUGCAAUAAAAUAGUCUGCCUAAGAAAAAUUGAAUUUUUUAAAAAAUUUUUUUUUUCGAAAUACGAUUUAAAGGUCAAAAUAUGUGUCUUCCUCUACUCGGAUCGGGCUGUCAAAUUUUUUCUACACUUUCAGGUGUAUUUUGUGCAAGAAAUUGCAAUAAAAUAGUCUGCCUAAGAAAAAUUGAAUUUUUUUGAAAAUUUUUUUUUUUCGAAAAACGAUUUAAAGGUCAAAAUAUGUGUCUUCCCCUACUCGGAUCGGGCUGUCAAAUUUUUUCUACACUUUUAGGUGUAUUUUGUGCAAGAAAUUGCAAUAAAAUAGUCUGCCUAAGAAAAAUUGAAUUUUUUUGAAAAUUUUUUUUUCGAAAAACGAUUUAAAGGUCAAAAUAUGUGUCUUCCCCUACUCGGAUCGGGCUGUCAAAUUUUUUCUACACUUUUAGGUGUAUUUUGUGCAAGAAAUUGCAAUAAAAUAGUCUGCCUAAGAAAAAUUGAAUUUUUUUGAAAAUUUUUUUUUUCGAAAAACGAUUUAAAGGUCAAAAUAUGUGUCUUCCUCUACUCGGAUCGGGCUGUCAAAUUUUUUCUACACUUUCAGGUGUAUUUUGUGCAAGAAAUUGCAAUAAAAUAGUCUGCCUAAGAAAAAUUGAAUUUUUUUGAAAAUUUUUUUUUUCGAAAAACGAUUUAAAGGUCAAAAUAUGGGUCUUCCUCUACUCGGAUCGGGCUGUCAAAUUUUUUCUACACUUUUAGGUGUAUUUUGUGCAAGAAAUUGCAAUAAAAUAGUCUGCCUAAGAAAAAUUGAAUUUUUUUGAAAAUUUUUUUUUUCGAAAAACGAUUUAAAGGUCAAAAUAUGUGUCUUCCUCUACUCGGAUCGGGCUGUCAAAUUUUUUCUACACUUUCAGGUGUAUUUUGUGCAAGAAAUUGCAAUAAAAUAGUCUGCCUAAGAAAAAUUGAAUUUUUUUGAAAAUUUUUUUUUUUCGAAAAACGAUUUAAAGGUCAAAAUAUGUGUCUUCCUCUACUCGGAUCGGGCUGUCAAAUUUUUUCUACACUUUCAGGUGUAUUUUGUGCAAGAAAUUGCAAUAAAAUAGUCUGCCUAAGAAAAAUUGAAUUUUUUUGAAAAUUUUUUUUUUUCGAAAAACGAUUUAAAGGUCAAAAUAUGUGUCUUCCUCUACUCGGAUCGGGCUGUCAAAUUUUUUCUACACUUUCAGGUGUAUUUUGUGCAAGAAAUUGCAAUAAAAUAGUCUGCCUAAGAAAAAUUGAAUUUUUUUGAAAAUUUUUUUUUUCGAAAAACGAUUUAAAGGUCAAAAUAUGGGUCUUCCUCUACUCGGAUCGGGCUGUCAAAUUUUUUCUACACUUUUAGGUGUAUUUUGUGCAAGAAAUUGCAAUAAAAUAGUCUGCCUAAGAAAAAUUGAAUUUUUUUGAAAAUUUUUUUUUUUCGAAAAACGAUUUAAAGGUCAAAAUAUGUGUCUUCCUCUACUCGGAUCGGGCUGUCAAAUUUUUUCUACACUUUCAGGUGUAUUUUGUGCAAGAAAUUGCAAUAAAAUAGUCUGCCUAAGAAAAAUUGAAUUUUUUUGAAAAUUUUUUUUUUUCGAAAAACGAUUUAAAGGUCAAAAUAUGGGUCUUCCUCUACUCGGAUCGGGCUGUCAAAUUUUUUCUACACUUUUAGGUGUAUUUUGUGCAAGAAAUUGCAAUAAAAUAGUCUGCCUAAGAAAAAUUGAAUUUUUUUGAAAAUUUUUUUUUUUCGAAAAACGAUUUAAAGGUCAAAAUAUGUGUCUUCCUCUACUCGGAUCGGGCUGUCAAAUUUUUUCUACACUUUUACGUGUAUUUUGUGCAAGAAAUUGCAAUAAAAUAGUCUGCCUAAGAAAAAUUGAAUUUUGUUGAAAAUUUUUCUCUUUUCGAAAAACGCUUAAAAGGUCAAAAUAGGGGUCUUCCUCUACUCGGAUCGGGCUGUCAAAUUUUUUCUACACUUUUAGGUGUAUUUUGUGCAAGAAAUUGCAAUAAAAAGUCUGCCUAAGAAAAAUUGAAUUUUUUGGGGAUAUUUUUUAAGGUUAUGUUAGAAUUUUGGGUGGUAAUAGGUGUCUUCUUCUACUUGUAUUUGGCUGUCAAUUUUUUUCUACACUUUUCGGAGUAUUUUGUGCAAGAAUUUGCUGUGAAAUCGUCUGUCUAAGAAAAAUUAAAUUUUUUAUGGAAUUUAGGUGUUUUUACGGGUAGUAGGGGUCUGUCUUUACUUCUAUCGGGGAGUCAAUUUUUUAAUACACUUUUG